CGGAAAAAUGGCCAAGAAACGCGUGGGCUAUAGCCUUGGUGGGGGGCGUGGGCGACGUUCGUCAGCGGGACUCGGAAUGGCCCCAGACUUGGCGGGCGGCCUCCGUAUGCCAAAAAUAGGCCACGGGCACAGCCGCGCCCAAAAAUCAGCCCCCGAAGGUCGGGGUCCCAAGACACCCCAGCGGAAAAAUGGCCAAGAAACGGGUGGGCUAUAGCCUUGGUGGGGGGCGUGGGCGAAGUUCGUCCGCGGGACUCGGAAUGGCCCCAGACUUGGCGGGCGGCCUCCGUGUGCCAAAAAUAGGCCACGGGCACAGCCGCGCCCAAAAAUCAGCCCCCGAAGGUCGGGGUCACAAGACCCCCCAGCGGAAAAAUGGCCAAGAAACGGGUGGGCUAUAGCCUUGGUGGGGGGCGUGGGCGAAGUUCGUCCGCGGGACUCGGAAUGGCCCCAGACUUGGCGGGCGGCCUCCGUCUGCCAAAAAUAGGCCACGGGCACAGCCGCGCCCAAAAAUCAGCCCCCGAAGGUCAGGGUCACAAGACCCCCCAGCGGAAAAAAGGCCAAGAAAUGCGUGGGCUAUAGCCUUGCUGGGGGGCGUGGGCGAAGUUCGUCCGCGGGACUCGAAAUGGCCCCAGAUUUGGCGGGCGGCCUCCGUGUGCCAAAAAUAGGCCACGGGCACAGCCGCGCCCAAAAAUCAGCCCCCGAAGGUCGGGGUCCCAAGACCCCCCAGCGGAAAAAAGGCCAAGAAACGCGUGGGCUAUAGCCUUGGUGGGGGGCGUGGGCGAAGUUCGUCCGCGGGACUCGGAAUGGCACCAUACUUGGCGGGCGGCCUCCGUGUGCCAAAAAUAGGCCACGGGCACAGCCGUGCCCAAAAAUCAGCCCCCGAAGGUCGGGGUCCCAAGACCCCCCAGCGGAAAAAUGGCCAACAAACGGGUGGGCUAUAGCCUUGGUGGGGGGCGUGGGCGAAGUUCGUCCGCGGGACUCGGAAUGGCCCCAGACUUGGCGAGCGGCCUCCGUGUGCCAAAAAUAGGCCACGGGCACAGCCGCGCCCAAAAAUCAGCCCCCGAAGGUCGGGGUCCCAAGACCCCCCAGCGGAAAAAAGGCCAAGAAACGCGUGGGCUAUAGCCUUGGUGGGGGGCGUGGGCGAAGUUCGUCCGCGGGACUCGGAAUGGCACCAUACUUGGCGGGCGGCCUCCGUGUGCCAAAAAUAGGCCACGGGCACAGCCGCGCCCAAAAAUCAGCCCCCGAAGGUCGGGGUCCCAAGACCCCCCAGCGGAAAAAAGGCCAAAAAACGGGUGGGCUAUAGCCUUGGUGGGGGGCGUGGGCGCAGGUCGUCCGCGGGACUCGGAAUGGCCCCAGACUUGGCGGGCGGCCUCCGUAUGCCAAAAAUAGGCCACGGGCACAGCCGCGCGAAAAAAAUCAGCCCCCGAAGGUCGGGGUCCCAAGACCCCCCAGCGGAAAAAUGGCCAAGAAACGCGUGGGCUAUAGCAUUGGUGGGGGGCGUGGGCGAAGUUCGUCCGCGGGACUCGGAAUGGCCCCAGACUUGGCGGGCGGCCUCCGUGUGCCAAAAAUAGGCCACGGGCAGAGCCGCGCCCAAAAAUCAGCCCCCGAAGGUCGGGGUCCCAAGACCCCCCAGCGGAAAAAUGGCCAAAAAACGGGUGGGCUAUAGCCUUGGUGGGGGGCGUGGGCGAAGUUCGUCCGCUGGACUCGGAAUGGCCCCAGACUUGGCGGGCGGCCUCCGUGUGCCAAAAAUAGGCCACGGGCACAGCCGCGCCCAAAAAUCAGCCCCCGAAGGUCGGGGUCCCAAGACCCCCCAGCGGAAAAAUGGCCAAGAAACGCGUGGGCUAUAGCCUUGGUGGGGGGCGUGGGCGAAGUUCGUCCGCGGGACUCGGAAUGGCCCCAGACUUGGCGGGCGGCCUCCGUGUGCCAAAAAUAGGCCACGGGCACAGCCGCGCCCAAAAAUCAGCCCCCGAAGGUCGGGGUCCCAAGACCCCCCAGCGGAAAAAUGGCCAAGAAACGGGUGGGCUAUAGCCUUGGUGGGGGGCGUGGGCGAAGUUCGUCCGCGGGACUCGGAAUGGCCCCAGACUUGGCGGGCGGCCUCUGUGUGCCAAAAAUAGGCCACGGGCACAGCCGCGCCCAAAAAUCAGCCCCCGAAGGUCAGGGUCCCAAGACCCCCCAGCGGAAAAAUGGCCAAGAAACGCGUGGGCUAUAGCCUUGGUGGGGGGCGUGGGCGAAGUUCGUCCGCGGGACUCGGAAUGGCCCCAGACUUGGCGGGCGGCCUCCGUGUGCCAAAAAUAGGCCACGGGCACAGCCGCGCCCAAAAAUCAGCCCCCGUAGGUCGGGGUCCCAAGACCCCCCAGCGGAAAAAUAGCCAAGAAACGGGUGGGCUAUAGCCUUGGUGGGGGGCGUGGGCGAAGUUCGUCCGCGGGACUCGGAAUGGCCCCAGACUUGGCGGGCGGCCUCCGUGUGCCAAAAAUAGGCCACGGGCACAGCCGCGCCCAAAAAUCAGCCCCCGAAGGUCGGGGUCACAAGACCCCCCAGCGGAAAAAAGGCCAAGAAACGCGUGGGCUAUAGCCUUGGUGGGGGGCGUGGGCGAAGUUCGUCCGCGGGACUCGGAAUGGCCCCAGACUUGGCGGGCGGCCUCCGUGUGCCAAAAAUAGGCCACGGGCACAGCCGCGCCCAAAAAUCAGCCCCCGAAGGUCGGGGUCCCAAGACCCCCCAGCGGAAAAAUGGCCAAGAAACGGGUGGGCUAUAGCCUUGGUGGGGGGCGUGGGCGAAGUUCGUCCGCGGGACUCAGAAUGGCCCCAGACUUGGCGGGCGGCCUCCGUGUGCCAAAAAUAGGCCACGGGCACAGCCGCGCCCAAAAAUCAGCCCCCGAAGGUCGGGGUCACAAGACCCCCCAGCGGAAAAAAGGCCAACAAACGCGUGGGCUAUAGCCUUGGUGGGGGGCGUGGGCGAAGUUCGUCCGCGGGACUCGGAAUGGCCCCAGACUUGGCAGGCGGCCUCCGUGUGCCAAAAAUAGGCCACGGGCACAGCCGCGCCCAAAAAUCAGCCCCCGAAGGUCGGGGUCACAAGACCCCCCAGCGGAAAAAAUGGCCAAGAAACGCGUGGGCUAUAGCCUUGGUGGGGGGCGUGGGGGAAGUUCGUCCACGGGACUCGGAAUGGCCCCAGACUUGGCGGGCGGCCUCCGUGUGCCAAAAAUAGGCCACGGGCACAGCCGCGCCCAAAAAUCAGCCCCCGAAGGUCGGGGUCCCAAGACCCCCCAGCGGAAAAAUGGCCAAGAAACGGGUGGGCUAUAGCCUUGGUGGGGGGCGUGGGCGAAGUUCGUCCGCGGGACUCGGAAUGGCCCCAGACUUGGCGGGCGGCCUCCGUGUGCCAAAAAUAGGCCACGGACACAGCCGCGCCCAAAAAUCAGCCCCCGAAGGUCGGGGUCCCAAGACCCCCCAGCGGAAAAAUGGCCAAGAAACGCGUGGGCUAUAGCCUUGGUGGGGGGCGUGGGCGAAGUUCGUCCGCGGGACUCGGAAUGGCCCCAGACUUGGCGGGCGGCCUCCGUGUGCCAAAAAUAGGCCACGGGCACAGCCGCGCCCAAAAAUCAACCCCCGAAGGUCGGGGUCCCAAGACCCCCCAGCGGAAAAAUAGCCAAGAAACGGGUGGGCUAUAGCCUUGGUGGGGGGCGUGGGCGAAGUUCGUCCGCGGGACUCGGAAUGGCCCCAGACUUGGCGGGCGGCCUCCGUGUACCAAAAAUAGGCCACGGGCACAGCCGCGCUCAAAAAUCAGCCCCCGAAGGUCGGGGUCACAAGACCCCCCAGCGGAAAAAAGGCCAAGAAACGCGUGGGCUAUAGCCUUGGUGGGGGGCGUGGGCGAAGUUCGUCCGCGGGACUCGGAAUGGCCCCAGACUUGGCGGGCGGCCUCCGUGUGCCAAAAAUAGGCCACGGGCACAGCCGCGCCCAAAAAUCAGCCCCCGAAGGUCGGGGUCACAAGACCCCCCAGCGGAAAAAAGGCCAAGAAACGCGUGGGCUAUAGCCUUGGUGGGGGGCAUGGGCGAAGUUCGUCCGCGGGACUCGAAAUGGCCCCAGACUUGGCGGGCGGCCUCCGUGUGCCAAAAAUAGGCCACGGGCACAGCCGCGCCCAAAAAUCAGCCCCCGAAGGUCGGGGUCACAAGACCCCCCAGCGGAAAAAAGGCCAAGAAACGCGUGGGCUAUAGCAUUGGUGGGGGGCGUGGGCGAAGUUCGUCCGCGGGACUCGGAAUGGCCCCAGACUUGGCGGGCGGCCUCCGUGUGCCAAAAAUAGGCCACGGGCACAGCCGCGCCCAAAAAUCAGCCCCCGAAGGUCGGGGUCACAAGACCCCCCAGCGGAAAAAAGGCCAAGAAACGCGUGGGCUAUAGCCUUGGUGGGGGGCGUGGGCGAAGUUCGUCCGCGGGACUCGGAAUGGCCCCAGACUUGGCGGGCGGCCUCCGUGUGCCAAAAAUAGGCCACGGGCACAGCCGCGCCCAAAAAUCAGCCCCCGAAGGUCGGGGUCACAAGACCCCCCAGCGGAAAAAAGGCCAAGAAACGCGUGGGCUAUAGCAUUGGUGGGGGGCGUGGGCGAAGUUCGUCCGCGGGACUCGGAAUGGCCCCAGACUUGGCGGUCGGCCUCCGUGUGCCAAAAAUAGGCCACGGGCAUAGCCGCGCCCAAAAAUCAGCCCCCGAAGGUCGGGGUCACAAGACCCCCCAGCGGAAAAAAGGCCAAAAAACGCAUGGGCUAUAGCCUUGGUGGGGGGCGUGGGCGAAGUUCGUCCGCGGGACUCGGAAUGGCCCCAGACUUGGCGGGCGGCCUCCGUGUGCCAAAAAUAGGCCACGGGCACAGCCGCGCCCAAAAAUCAGCCCCCGAAGGUCGGGGUCCCAAGACCCCCCAGCGGAAAAAUGGCCAAAAAACGGGUGGGCUAUAGCCUUGGUGGGGGGCGUGGGCGAAGUUCGUCCGCGGGACUCGGAAUGGCCCCAGACUUGGCGGGCGGCCUCC
rnacentral:lncRNA from 1 species